rnacentral:rRNA from 1 species
AGGAAAGUAGGGGAUCGCAAGACCUUGCACUUUUGGAGCGGCCGAUGUCUGAUUAGCUAGUUGGUGGGGUAAUGGCCUACCAAAGCUUCGAUCAGUAGCUGGUCUGAGAGGACGGCCAGCCACACUGGGACUGAGACACGGCCCAGACUCCUACGGGAGGCAGCAGUGGGGAAUUUUGGACAAUGGGCGCAAGCCUGAUCCAGCCAUGCCGCGUGAGUGAAGAAGGCCUUCGGGUUGUAAAGCUCUUUCAGCCGGGAAGAAAAGGUUGCGAUUAAUAAUCGCAAUUUAUGACGGUACCGGAAGAAGAAGCACCGGCUAACUACGUGCCAGCAGCCGCGGUAAUACGUAGGGUGCGAGCGUUAAUCGGAAUUACUGGGCGUAAAGGGUGCGCAGGCGGUUUUGUAAGUCAGAUGUGAAAUCCCCGGGCUUAACCUGGGAACUGCGUUUGAAACUACAAGGCUA